ACAUAGGACUCAAAGUCCACGAGCAUUAAGACUCUUCACCAGCCAUCAGAUCAGAUAGGAACCUCUAAUGUGUGUGACCCCGCAGGUUCGAACCUAAGCCGGUAGCACAGGAAUCAAUUCCUGUACUAAUCGAAGUGACCAUCUAGCAAUGAUAUCCGACAUCCAGAUAGGUCGAAUAGUUGCAAUCGCAACACUCAGAACCU
rnacentral:lncRNA from 1 species